rnacentral:rRNA from 1 species
GCAGUCGAGCGGAUUGAUGGGAGCUUGCUCCCUGAAUCAGCGGCGGACGGGUGAGUAACACGUGGGUAACCUGCCUGUAAGACUGGGAUAACUCCGGGAAACCGGGGCUAAUACCGGAUAGUUCUUUUCCUCGCAUGAGGAAAAGUGGAAAGGCGGCUUCGGCUGCCACUUACAGAUGGACCCGCGGCGCAUUAGCUAGUUGGUGAGGUAACGGCUCACCAAGGCAACGAUGCGUAGCCGACCUGAGAGGGUGAUCGGCCACACUGGGACUGAGACACGGCCCAGACUCCUACGGGAGGCAGCAGUAGGGAAUCUUCCGCAAUGGACGAAAGUCUGACGGAGCAACGCCGCGUGAGUGAUGAAGGUUUUCGGAUCGUAAAGCUCUGUUGUUAGGGAAGAACAAGUGCCGUUCGAAUAGGGCGGCACCUUGACGGUACCUAACCAGAAAGCCACGGCUAACUACGUGCCAGCAGCCGCGGUAAUACGUAGGUGGCAAGCGUUGUCCGGAAUUAUUGGGCGUAAAGCGCGCGCAGGCGGUCUCUUAAGUCUGAUGUGAAAGCCCACGGC